AGCAGUGGGGAAUAUUGCACAAUGGGCGCAAGCCUGAUGCAGCCAUGCCGCGUGUGUGAAGAAGGCCUUCGGGUUGUAAAGCACUUUCAGUUGUGAGGAAGGUGGUGUCGUUAAUAGCGGCAUCAUUUGACGUUAGCAACAGAAGAAGCACCGGCUAACUCCGUGCCAGCAGCCGCGGUAAUACGGAGGGUGCGAGCGUUAAUCGGAAUUACUGGGCGUAAAGCGCAUGCAGGUGGUUUGUUAAGUCAGAUGUGAAAGCCCGGGGCUCAACCUCGGAACUGCAUUUGAAACUGGCAGACUAGAGUACUGUAGAGGGGGGUAGAAUUUCAGGUGUAGCGGUGAAAUGCGUAGAGAUCUGAAGGAAUACCGGUGGCGAAGGCGGCCCCCUGGACAGAUACUGACACUCAGAUGCGAAAGCGUGGGGAGCAAACAGGAUUAGAUACCCUGGUAGUCCACGCUGUAAACGAUGUCUACUUGGAGGUUGUGGCCUUGAGCCGUGGCUUUCGGAGCUAACGCGUUAAGUAGA
rnacentral:rRNA from 1 species